AGUGAACGCUGGCGGUAGGCCUAACACAUGCAAGUCGAACGGCAGCACAGUAAGAGCUUGCUCUUACGGGUGGCGAGUGGCGGACGGGUGAGGAAUACAUCGGAAUCUACUUUUUCGUGGGGGAUAACGUAGGGAAACUUACGCUAAUACCGCAUACGACCUACGGGUGAAAGCAGGGGAUCUUCGGACCUUGCGCGAUUGAAUGAGCCGAUGUCGGAUUAGCUAGUUGGCGGGGUAAAGGCCCACCAAGGCGACGAUCCGUAGCUGGUCUGAGAGGAUGAUCAGCCACACUGGAACUGAGACACGGUCCAGACUCCUACGGGAGGCAGCAGUGGGGAAUAUUGGACAAUGGGCGCAAGCCUGAUCCAGCCAUGCCGCGUGGGUGAUGAAGGCCUUCGGGUUGUAAAGCCCUUUUGUUGGGAAAGAAAAGCAGCAUGUUAAUACCCCGCUGUUCUGACGGUACCCAAAGAAUAAGCACCGGCUAACUUCGUG
rnacentral:rRNA from 1 species